UCUCCAGCAGCUUUCCCUAUGACACUGCAUACAAAUUUUUUAGUAUAAUCUAUCUUAGAUCAUUUUCCUUCACUUUUCCAACAUGCGUAGACCCAAACAACGACCCGACAACUAAACAAUUAUUAAUGCAGCAUCACAACAGACGAAAUCCCAAGGUGAUGAUGCUUCAACAAUGAGGAGAAGGCAGCUUGACAUUCGCUUAAGUGUCUUGUCCAUGGCAUCUGUUAGUGAUUCCAGAUUGUUGACGAAAUAUCGUCUUCUGCUACCUCUAGGUUCCGAUGGCCAUUGAUAAUUGGAGAGCAGCAUAGGAGUGUGACAGCUUUGUCUGGGCUAAAUGCCCUACUAUAGAAUGGAAUCCUCUUGAGAAACUUUGUCUGCCCCUAAGUUACAAAAUACACAUCAUAAGUUAAUUAACAAAAUUAAAACAAAAGAUUGAGAUUUUGAGCUGAAGUUUUUGUGUGACCUAGGUCCUUGUGACAAUAGCCAAUCAGCAUGUCAGUUUUCUGUGUUAGCAAGCAAAGGGC